CGGUGUUCAACUGGCGUGUCCGCGGGACGUCCUGCCGGUGGGCUUAGCCCGCAAGGGCGGCCCAACUUCAAAUCCCAUCGCGGUGCUCUUCACUGAGUGUCGAGGUGGGCCGGCACGUUUACUUUGAACAAAUUAGAGUGCUUAAAGCAGGCUAAAACUUCGCCUGAAUACUGUGUGCAUGGAAUAAUGGAAUAGGACCUCGGUUCUAUUUUGUUGGUUUUCGGAACCCCGAGGUAAUGAUUAAUAGGAACGGAUGGGGGCAUUCGUAUUGCGACGUUAGAGGUGAAAUUCUUGGAUCGUCGCAAGACGGACAGAAGCGAAAGCAUUUGCCAAAAACGCUUUCAUUGAUCAAGAACGAAAGUUAGAGGUUCGAAGGCGAUCAGAUACCGCCCUAGUUCUAACCAUAAACGAUGCCAGCUAGCGAUCCGUCGACGUUCCUCCGAUGACUCGACGGGCAGCUUCCGGGAAACCAACGCUUUUGGGUUCCGGGGGAAGUAUGGUUGCAAAGCUGAAACUUAAAGGAAUUGACGGAAGGGCACCACCAGGAGUGGAGCCUGCGGCUUAAUUUGACUCAACACGGGAAACCUCACCAGGCCCGGACACCGGAAGGAUUGACAGAUUGAGAGCUCUUUCUUGAUUCGGUGGGUGGUGGUGCAUGGCCGUUCUUAGUUGGUGGAGCGAUUUGUCUGGUUAAUUCCGAUAACGAACGAGACUCUAGCCUGCUAACUAGGCGUAUUUUCGACAUCUCAAAGGUCCGUCGUCCCGGCCCUCGGGUCGUGGGCGUGCGCGAUUUUUACUGUCGGCGUACUAUCAAUUCUUCUUAGAGGGACAGGUGGCUUCUAGCCGCACGAGAUUGAGCAAUAACAGGUCUGUGAUG
rnacentral:rRNA from 1 species